GCUUGUCUCAAAGAUUAAGCCAUGCAUGUCUAAGUGUAAAUAAGUCUAUACUGUGAAACUGCGAAUGGCUCAUUAAAUCAGUUAUCGUUUAUUUGAUGAUCUCUUACUACUUGGAUAACCGUAGUAAUUCUAGAGCUAAUACAUGCUGGCGUGCCCGACUUUUGCGGAAGGGCGGUAUUUAUUAGAUAACAAGCCAAUAUUCCUCCGGGUCUAUUGUGGUGAUUCAUAAUAACUGAUCGAAUCGCAAGGCCUUUGGCCGCGAUAAGUCAUUCAAGUUUCUGCCCCAUCAGCUUUCGAUGGUAGUGUAUUGGACUACCAUGGCGUUCACGGGUAACGGAGAAUUAGGGUUCGAUUCCGGAGAGGGAGCCUGAGAAACGGCUACCACAUCUAAGGAAGGCAGCAGG
rnacentral:rRNA from 1 species